UGCGCCUCACUUUCUAGCUCGUCUAGAUCACCCAGGGCGUAGGCAUGUGUAUCGUAUUUUGUCGGGUUUCGAGCUCAAGAAUCGAUGUCCCUUUGUUGGUUGGUUUUCCGAGAAUCCUUGACCCUUGAUUUGUUACUUUCGCAUCGUUCGGUGCAUUCUGGGGGAUGUUUUGGCUUUUGGUGGCUUACUUGGCCUUUUGGCUGGGUUUGUUGCUAUUGGUCGGGCGGCUUUCGGGAAUGUCGACCGUGGAGGUGCAUGAGUGGUGUUUGGUUUGUUACGUGUGGAUGGCUGUUUGCUUGCGCAACAACGUUCACGCUGCAUACCUCUUCAGUUUUGCGGCAAGGCUUGGUUUGGCUUGUGCAUAUUGUGGGUUUCCUGUGUUGCAUACCUAGUUGAAGGAAAAGUGUGGGUUUUACGAUUUUCAUUUUCGUCUUGCGUCGUUCUUUCGGCAUGAGAUGAGCAAUGAAGCGAUCUUUAUGAUCCAUCGUGCUGUUGUGUUUGCAACAAUGAUGUGGCCUAUGAAGCAUCGUUUGGUCUCUUGUAUACGGAAGCUCAUUUGGGCUUGGGUCUUCAUAAGAUCUUCGUUAUGCCCUUGUUAAGCGUUCUCGCUUCUCCUAAACGAUUG
rnacentral:misc_RNA from 1 species